rnacentral:rRNA from 1 species
UACAGAGGGGGCAAGCGUUAUUCGGAAUUAUUGGGCGUAAAGGGCGCGUAGGCGGCCUGACAAGUGGAUGGUGAAAUCCCUCGGCUUAACCGGGGAACUGCCAUCCAGACUGGUUGGCUUGAGACCGGGAGAGGGGAGUGGAAUUCCCAGUGUAGCGGUGAAAUGCGUAGAUAUCGAGAGGAACACCUGUGGCGAAAGCGG